rnacentral:rRNA from 1 species
UACGUAGGUGGCAAGCGUUGUCCGGAUUUACUGGGCGUAAAGAGCGCGCAGGCGGUCGUAUAAGUCGAAUGUGAAAGCCCCUGGCUCAACUAGGGAGAGUCAUUCGAUACUGUUCGACUCGAAGGCAGGAGAGGGAAGUGGAAUUCCGGGUGUAGUGGUGAAAUGCGUAGAUAUCCGGAGGAACACCAGUGGCGAAGGCGGCGCUCUGGCUCGCAACUGACGCUCAGACACGACAGCAUGGGGAGCGAACGGG